CGGCAAAAGCUCAAAUUUGAAAUCUAGCACCUUCGGUGUUCGAGUUGUAAUUUGAAGAAGGUAACCUUGGGAUUGGCUCUUGUCUAUGUUUCUUGGAACAGAACGUCACAGAGGGUGAGAAUCCCGUGCGAUGAGAUGACC
rnacentral:rRNA from 1 species